GACGAACGCUGGCGGCGUGCUUAACACAUGCAAGUCGAGCGGUAAGGCCCUUUCGGGGGUACACGAGCGGCGAACGGGUGAGUAACACGUGGGUGACCUGCCCUCAGCUCUGGGAUAAGCCUGGGAAACCGGGUCUAAUACUGGGAUAUGACUCCAUGACGCAUGUUGUGGGGUGGAAAGCCUUGUGCGGCUGAGGAUGGGCCCGCGGCCUAUCAGCUUGUUGGUGGGGUGANGGCCUACCAAGGCGACGACGGGUAGCCGGCCUGAGAGGGCGACCGGCCACACUGGGACUGAGACACGGCCCAGACUCCUACGGGAGGCAGCAGUGGGGAAUCUUGCGCAAUGGGCGAAAGCCUGACGCAGCGACGCCGCGUGAGGGAUGACGGGCCU
rnacentral:rRNA from 1 species